rnacentral:rRNA from 1 species
GAUGAACGCUAGCGGGAGGCCUAACACAUGCAAGCCGAGCGGUAGAGUUUCUUCGGAAACUUGAGAGCGGCGCACGGGUGCGUAACACGUGUGCAACCUACCUUUAUCUGGGGGAUAGCCUUUCGAAAGGAAGAUUAAUACCCCAUAAUAUAAUGAUUGGCAUCAAUUAUUAUUGAAAACUCCGGUGGAUAGAGAUGGGCACGCGCAAGAUUAGAUAGUUGGUGAGGUAACGGCUCACCAAGUCAAUGAUCUUUAGGGGUCCUGAGAGGGAGAUCCCCCACACUGGUACUGAGACACGGACCAGACUCCUACGGGAGGCAGCAGUGAGGAAUAUUGAACAAUGGGUGAGAGCCUGAUCCAGCCAUCCCGCGUGAAGGAUGACGGUCCUAUGGAUUGUAAACUUCUUUUGGACAGGGAUAAACCUACCCUCGUGAGGGUAGCUGAAGGUACUGUACGAAUAAGCACCGGCUAACUCCGUG